GUGCAGCAGUCGAGAAAACUUUACAAUGCGGGAAACCGUGAUAAGGGAAUCUCGAGUGCCAGCAUAUAAUGUUGGCUGUCCAGAUGCCUAAAAAGCAUCUGUUAGCAAGGGCCGGGCAAGACCGGUGCCAGCCGCCGCGGUAACACCGGCGGCCCGAGUGGUAACCGCUAUUAUUGGGUCUAAAGGGUCUGUAGCCGGCCAGGUAAGUCCCUUGGGAAAUCUGGCAGCUCAACUGUCAGGCUGCUAGGGGAUACUGUUUGGCUUGGGACCGGGAGAGGUGAGAGGUACCUUGGGGGUAGGGGUGAAAUCUUGUGAUCCUCGGGGGACCACCAGUGGCGAAGGCGUCUCACCAGAACGGGUCCGACGGUAAGGGACGAAAGCUAGGGGCACGAACCGGAUUAGAUACCCGCGUAGUCC
rnacentral:rRNA from 1 species